CCUACGGGAGGCAGCAGUGGGGAAUAUUGGACAAUGGGCGAAAGCCUGAUCCAGCAAUGCCGCGUGUGUGAAGAAGGCCUUCGGGUUGUAAAGCACUUUAAGCAGGGAAGAAAAAACUAGCGUUAAUAUCGUUAGUCUUGACGGUACCUGAAGAAUAAGCACCGGCUAACUCUGUGCCAGCAGCCGCGGUAAUACAGAGGGUGCAAGCGUUAAUCGGAUUUACUGGGCGUAAAGCGUGUGUAGGUGGUUGGAAAAGUCGAUUGUGAAAUCCCUGGGCUCAACCCGGGAACUGCUUUCGAAACUGUCUGACUAGAAUUCGGUAGAGGGAGGCGGAACUCCAGGUGUAGCGGUGAAAUGCGUAGAUAUCUGGAAGAACACCAAUGGCGAAGGCAACCUCCUGGGCCUGAAUUGACACUGAGACACGAAAGCGUGGGGAUCAAACAGGAUUAGAUACCCUGGCAGUCACGACCGUAACGANAGAGACUAGUACGUCGGUUGUCUCUGCGAGUCGGUGUCGUAGUCGUACGACGAGUAGUUACGUCCGCCGUCGGGGUAGGUACGGCCGGCCGUAACGGUUAGGUAAACGUUACGAAAGGUAAAGUUAGUUACGGCGUUGAGGACGUGCCGACGGACGACGACGAGGGAGGAGG
rnacentral:rRNA from 1 species